ACAUAUCAAAUAUUACUACAGCCCUGAUCACAUUCAACUACAUUGCCACUAUCACCAUCGUCACCGCCACCAUUGUCAAUAUUGCCAUCAACAAUAACAAAACCACCAUCCCCAAAAUAACAAUACCACCAAACAAUAAGACCAUCAACAAAAUAAAAAAACCUUGCUAGCUGGUCGUAGAUUAUAAGAAAGAGGUUCAUAAUCAUUAACAUCUUCUAGUAAGUAUGAUCAGUGUACAACCAAAAAACUGCAUUCACCAUUAAAGCCACAACUGUAUCCAUAACCAUCUUGUAUUAUUUUGUAAAACAAAUCGAAAAAAACAACCAAAAUAUUAGAGAAUCAAAAAAUAAAACUAAGUUUAACGCUGCUGCUUCAAUCGCCUUCAUAGAGCGUUGCUUCAACUGUUGCCGUUGCAAUCGCAUAGUUGCUUCAGUUGCCAUCGCACGGUUGCUUCAGUCAUCUUCGUUAUCAUUGUCUUGAAUGAGUAAUUAUUGGUAGAAUUAAUUUUGGGUAGAAUUUAUUUAGUUAGGGUUUGAGUUUUAUUUGAUUUUAUCAUUGUAAUGAUUGUGUUAAGGGUGGUGCUAGUGGUGAUGUAAGGGUGGCAGUUGGUGGUGGAACUGAUAGUGGUGGUGAGACUGUCGAAGAUGUCGAAGAUGGUGGUGGUAGGGUGGGGACUAACAGUGGUGGUGAUGAGGGACAUUAGAAUUUUUUUUCUUUAGUUAAAU
rnacentral:lncRNA from 1 species